rnacentral:rRNA from 1 species
CACGUAGGUGGGUCGUUAAGUCGGGGUGAAAUCCUGGAGCUCAACUCCAGAACUGCCUUCGAUACUGGCGAUCUUCGAGUUCGGGAGAGGUGAGUGGAACUGCGAGUGUAGAGGUGAAAUUCGUAGAUAUUCGCAAGAACACCAGUGGCGAAGGCGGCUCACUGGCCCGAUACUGACACUGAGGUGCGAAAGCGUGGGAGCAAACA